GAAAAAGGGGGCGGGGGGGGGGGGGGGCACAUGACAUUUUUCAGCUGCCAUCAUGCUAAUAUGUGAAGGUAAAAUGAAGGCUAUAAAAUGAUAGAUACAAUAACCUUUAUUAGUCCCACAAUGGGGAAAUUUGCAAGUAAGAAUCAUGUACUGUAUUUACCGAGUUUAGUUUUUCCAUCCAUCCAUCCACUUUCUGAGCCGCUUCUCCUCACUAGGGUCGCGGGCGUGCUGGAGCCUAUCCCAGCUGUCAUCGGGCAGGAGCCAGGGUACAUCCUGAACUGGUUGCCAGCCAAUAGCAGGGCACAUAGGAACAAACAACCAUUCGCACUCACAGUCAUGCCUACGGGCAAUUUAGAGUCUCCAAUUCAUGCAUGUUUUUGGGAUGUGGGAGGAAACCGGAGUACCCGGAGAAAACCCACGCAGGCACGGGGAGAACAUGCAAACUCCACACAGGUGGGGCCGGGGAUUGAACCCGGGUCCUCAGAACUGUGAGGCUGACGCUCUAACCAGUCGGCCGCCGAGUUUAGUUUUUAAAAAUAAUAAUUUUUAUUACAACCUUUCUAAAAAUAUCAAUUUGAAGCUAUAGCUAUAUAUUUUUAUUAUGACACUGUAAGGUGUCCCUCAAGGGGAAAUGCAGCUGUCACUCCGAAGUAUACAGUACUUUGAACCAGAUCACACACAUGCAGAUCUGCAAGGAGAGAUUCAGAGUGAAAGAGGUGCACAAAGAGGGCUGCACCACUUGAUGCCUUGCUUAAAGUGGGACUCGAACCUGUGUCCUCUGACUCCAAAGCCUAAGUCCUUACAUCGGAGCAUGUAGAGGCAGCAUUUUCAUUCCUGUAUUUAUCAGGUUUUGCAGGAUCAGCAGUCUAUCCCAGUUUACUGGGCGGAAAGGCAGACUGCACCUUGGAUCUGUAGCCAGCUAAUCACAGGGCACAUAUAAACAGUCACACGCACGCCGACUAUCAAUGAACAGGAAUCGAUCCCACGCUGGCUACAUGAAAGUCAGUUGUCAGCUUUACCACUAUACUGUGACCUGCUAUUGUGAUACCCAUUGUGAUAUAUUUGUAUUUGUUUUCUCCUCCAU